rnacentral:lncRNA from 1 species
CCAAAUAUUAUUUGAUCCAAUAGAACAUUCAGUCUUUUUCAAUCACAGAUUUCAAUUUUACACAUUUCAACAGCAAACAAUCAAUAAUUCUCAAAAUUAAUGAUCAAAUCCAGAAAUCACUCAAUGAAACUCACAACAGCACAUACACAUCUGCACGAUCCAUCAAGUGUACAUAUAAUCGGAAACAAAUACACAGGCACCAAAACAUGGUGGCAACAUCAACUAAAACUACUGUGCACAUCCCCAAGUGUUGCUGGUCCAGCACCAGCCCCAGCCCAAGGUGCACCAGCCCCAGCCCCAGCAGUCGCAUAUUUUUGCUUGUCUAGUCAUGGUCCUUCUCCUGCGCAUCCAAUUCAGAAGCACACUCAUAGUAAGUUUGACAUAGAAGUAGCAAUUUGAAUGAGAAGCAGCAACAACAAUUUGAUUUGAAGGAGGAGCAGCAACAACGGCAAGUACUUUCUUCUCAUUAGGAUAGCAACAAGAGCAGUUUGGCAUAGUAGGAGCAACAGCAGUUUGAUGAUAGCAGCAGUACCUGAUAUCAGCAAAAGUAGUUUGAAAUAUCCUUGGGCGGCCGAAGAUGGUGAAAUGAUGAUCUGAUUGUUCUUAGACAGUGGUAUCAAAAGAUAGGCUUUUAGAGUAAAAAAAUUGGCUCCAAUCAGCCUACAUACAACAAGUAAUAAAAUUAUUAGGAGAGAGUAUACAGUUACCAACAGCAUGC